rnacentral:rRNA from 1 species
GAUGAACGCUGGCGGCGUGCUUAACACAUCAGCAACGAGGCGAGUGACGAAGGGGUGAGUAACGCAUCGGAACGUACCGAGUAAUGGGGGAUAACUGUCCGAAAGGACAGCUAAUACCGCAUAUUAUUAGAGCGGCCGAUGGCGGAUUAGCUGGUUGGCGGGGUAAAGGCCCACCACGUCGACGAUCAGUAGCGGGUCUGAGAGGAUGAUCCGCCACACUGGGACUGAGACACGGCCCAGACUCCUACGGGAGGCAGCAGUGGGGAAUUUUGGACAAUGGGCGCAAGCCUGAUCCAGCCAUGCCGCGUGUCUGAAGAAGGCCUUCGGGUUGUAAAGGACUUUUGUCAGGGAAGCGGUACCUAAAGAAUAAGCACCGGCUAACUACGUGCCAGCAGCCGCGGUAAUUC